CCUACGGGAGGCUGCAGUGGGGGAUAUUGGACAAUGGGGGAAACCCUGAUCCAGCGACGCCGCGUGAGUGAAGAAGUAUUUCUGUAUGUAAAGCUCUGUCAGCAGGGAAGAAAGAAAUGACGGUACCUGACCAAGAAGCCCCGGCUAACUACGUGCCAGCAGCCCCGGUAAUACGUAGGGGGCAAGCGUUAUCCGGAAUUACUGGGUGUAAAGGAAGCGUAGACGGUGAUGCAAGUCUAGAGUGAAAGGCGGUGGCCCAACCCCCGGACUGCUCUGGAAACUGUGUAACUUGAGUGCAGGAGAGGUAAGCGGAAUGCCUAGUGUAGCGGUGAAAUGCGUAGAUAUUAGGAGGAACACCAGUGGCGAAGGCGGCUUACUGGACUGUAACUGACGUUGAGGCUCGAAAGCGUGGGGAGCAAACAGGAUUAGAUACCCCGGUAGUC
rnacentral:rRNA from 1 species